AAACGAUUCAUAUGUUUGGCAUAACUGGUACCUGUUUUUGCAAGAUCCAAGUAUUUAUUCAUUUUGAAAGAUAUUUGAUUAUUUCUUUUCAGAAUGUAUCCUACGUAAAGUAGAAUAAAUUAAGGUUAUACAGGAUUUAAAUUUCCCGCUUCAAUAGAAUACGUAUAUGGCGCAAUAUGUCAAAUCGUGAAAUUUGAAUUUUAGUGAUUAAACAUCAUAAACUGGUAUUUAAAAGUUUUCCUUGUGAUAAACCAUUAUAAAAAGAGCCACAAUAAAUUUCCUGAUAACGACGAAAACAUCAUAAUCCUUAUGUACCAUUACAUAUAUAACGAUCUGCAUAUACAUAUAAUAUGUAAGCAACAGAUUAGAGAUCCCCAGGGUAUGAACUUUCUUACAUUUAAAACGGGACUUCACGAAACUUACUGCUCUCUAAUUGAAUUAAUAUCAUCAGUAAACAAUGACAAUUACACACAUACUAUCGUCUUAUCUUUUCGUUUUAUCCUUUAAAAUAUAUAUUUACUUAAAACAGA